UACAGAGGUCUCAAGCGUUGUUCGGAUUCAUUGGGCGUAAAGGGUGCGUAGGCGGCGCGGUAAGUCGGGUGUGAAAUCUUGGAGCUUAACUCCGAAACUGCAUUCGAUACUGCCGUGCUUGAGGACUGGAGAGGAGAAUGGAAUUCCCGGUGUAGCGGUGAAAUGCGCAGAUAUCGGGAAGAACACCCGUGGCGAAGGCGGUUCUCUGGGACGGUACUGACGCUGAGACGCGAAAGCGUGGGGAGCGAACAGG
rnacentral:rRNA from 1 species